UACGUAGGGGGCAAGCGUUGUUCGGAAUUACUGGGCGUAAAGGGCGCGUAGGCGGCAGGCCAAGUCGGGAGUGAAAGCCCGGGGCUCAACCCCGGAAUGUCUUUCGAAACUGGACCAGCUGGAGUGCGGAAGGGGCAACUGGAAUUCUUGGUGUAGCGGUGAAAUGCGUAGAGUAUCAAGAGGAACACCUGCGGCGAAGGCGGGUUGCUGGGCCGACACGUGACGCUGAAGCGCGAAAGCUAGGGGAGCGAACGGG
rnacentral:rRNA from 1 species